rnacentral:lncRNA from 1 species
CUAAGUACAGCUUAUACUUUUUCUAUAAAUAAUUUAUUAUCAGACUAUUCAUUGUCAAGUACUUUAUUGGGUUACAACGACAAUGUAGAUGACACAAUUGGUAAAGAAGAUACAAACUACACAAACGGUACAGACGAUAGAAACGGUACAGACGAUAGAAACGGUACAGNNNNNNNNNNAGAAACGGUACAGACGAUAGAAACGGUACAGACGAUAGAAACGGUACGGACGAUAGAAACGGUACAGACGAUAGAAGCGGUACAGACGAUAGAAACGGUACAGACGAUAGAAACGAUGCAAAUGAUAUAACUAGUAAAACUUAUAAUGACGAUAAAAAAUAUAAACUAACAGUUACUGAUUCGAAUAAAUAUAACAACGCAAAUGAAAGUACCAUAGGUAACGACGUGAACAAUACAUCGUAUAAGUGUGUUACGCCAUUAGAUAAAGCUACUACAUUAGUUUAUAAAAGUAAUAAUCAUAAAGUAUCGAAAUAUAAGAAAAGAAAAUACUAUGAUAAUAAUGAAUCUGUUACUAAUGUAUCGAGUUUGUACUAUAAGAGGAAAGAAAAAGGAGUUAUCACAGAUUUGUCUCAGUAUAUAUAUCCUAUAAAAGAUGAUAAGGUGGAUGCAACUGGUGAAUUUGGUGAACAUUCCGAACUAGUCCAUUUGAAGAAAUUGCCUAGAUCGAGUAAUUCGGUUGCAUCAAUUGAAUCUAUUACAUCUGCUCAAUCAGUUGCGUCUAUUGAAUCUAUUACAUCUGUUGAAUCAGUUGCUUCAAUUGAAUCUAUUACAUCUGCUGAAUCGGUUGCUUCUAUUGAGUCUAUUACAUCAGAUGAAUCAUUUACAUCUGGUAAACCUAUUAUAUCUGGUGAAACCAUUACAUCUGGUGAAACCUUUACACCUGCUGAAUCAAUUACAACUGGUGAACCUAUUAAAUCUGGUGCAACCUUUACAUCUGGUGAACCUAUUACAUCUGGAAAACCUGCUGCAUCUGAUGAACCUAUUACACCUACUGAAUCUUUUAAAUCUGCUGAAUCUAUUAAGUCUGCUGAAUCUAUUACAUCCAGUGAACCUAUUACACCGGCUGAAUCAAUUACGUCUGCUGAAUUUAUUACAUCUUCUGAAUCUAUAACGUCGGCUAAAUCUAUUACGUCGGAUAAAUCUAUUAAAUCUGCUGAAGUUGUUACAUCUGCGGAAUCUAUUGCGUUUGCUGAAUCUAUUACAUCAGAUGAGGGUAUUAUAUCAAGUGAAUUUGUGAAAUGUACUAAGUAUGAAGAAGAAGAUGACAAACGUAGAAACAUAUAUAACCGUACCAACGAGUAUGAUGAACCUAAACAUACCCAAAUCGAUGAAUCCAACCAUCUUAACAAAUCAGAAGUAUAUACUAGCUCAGUAAGUACUCUAGAAUGUGCAAAUAAUAUAAUUGACUAUAAAACAAAUGAUUAUAAUACAAAAAAUUGCACUAUUGA